rnacentral:snRNA from 1 species
UUUGGCAGCACAUAUGCUUAAAGAAACCAAAAACUGGAAAACACACAGAAGACGAGCAGAGCCCCUGCCGGAGGAUGACACACAAAUUCGUGACGUGUGCCAUACAAUU